rnacentral:rRNA from 1 species
AUACAGAGGGUGCAAGCGUUAAUCGGAUUUACUGGGCGUAAAGCGCGCGUAGGUGGCUAAUUAAGUCAAAUGUGAAAUCCCCGAGCUUAACUUGGGCAUUGCAUUCGAUACUGGUUAGCUAGAGUAUGGGAGAGGAUGGUAGAAUUCCAGGUGUAGCGGUGAAAUGCGUAGAGAUCUGGAGGAAUACCGAUGGCGAAGGCAGCCAUCUGGCCUAAUACUGACACUGAGGUGCGAAAGCAUGGGGAGCAAACAGGAUUAGAUACCCUGGUAGUCCAUGCCGUAAACGAUGUCUACUAGCCGUUGGGGCCCUUGAGGCUUUAGUGGCGCAGCUAACGCGAUAAGUAGACCGCCUGGGGAGUACGGUCGCAAGACUAAAACUCAAAUGAAUUGACGGGG